GGGGUAAUGGCCUACCAAGGCGACGACGGGUAGCCGACCUGAGAGGUGACCGGCCCAUUGGGACUGAGACACGGCCCAGACUCCUACGGGAGGCAGCAGUGGGGAAUAUUGCACAAUGGGCGGAAGCCUGAUGCAGCGACGCCGCGUGAGGGAUGAAGGCCUUCGGGUUGUAAACCUCUUUCAGCAGGGACGAAGCGUGAGUGACGGUACCUGUAGAAGAAGCACCGGCUAACUACGUGCCAGCAGCCGCGGUAAUACGUAGGGUGCGAGCGUUGUCCGGAAUUACUGGGCGUAAAGAGUUCGUAGGCGGUCUGUCGCGUCGUUUGUGAAAACCCGGGGCUCAACUUCGGGCUUGCAGGCGAUACGGGCAGACUUGAGUGUUUCAGGGGAGACUGGAAUUCCUGGUGUAGCGGUGAAAUGCGCAGAUAUCAGGAGGAACACCGGUGGCGAAGGCAGGUCUCUGGGUAGUAACUGACGCUGAGGAGCGAAAGCAUGGGUAGCGAACAGGAUUAGAUACCCUGGUAGUCCAUGCCGUAAACGGUGGGCGCUAG
rnacentral:rRNA from 1 species